rnacentral:rRNA from 1 species
CCCCCCAUGCCAAGUCCGAGGGGUAUCACGCUUUCGGGCGUGAGAGACCGGCGCACGGGUGCGUAACGCGUAUGCAAUCUACCUUUCACAGAGGGAUAGCCCAGAGAAAUUUGGAUUAAUACCUCAUAGUAUAGUACCUUGGCAUCAAGGAACUAUUAAAGUCACAACGGUGAAAGAUGAGCAUGCGUCCCAUUAGCUAGAUGGUAAGGUAACGGCUUACCAUGGCUACGAUGGGUAGGGGUCCUGAGAGGGAGAUCCCCCACACUGGUACUGAGACACGGACCAGACUCCUACGGGAGGCAGCAGUGAGGAAUAUUGGUCAAUGGGCGCAAGCCUGAACCAGCCAUGCCGCGUGCAGGAUGACGGUCCUAUGGAUUGUAAACUGCUUUUAUACAGGAAGAAACACUCGGACGUGUCCGAGCUUGACGGUACUGUAGGAAUAAGGAUCGGCUAACUCCGUGCCAGCAGCCGCGGUAAUACGGAGGAUCCAAGCGUUAUCCGGAAUCAUUGGGUUUAAAGGGUCCGUAGGCGGCUUAAUAAGUCAGUGGUGAAAGCCCUACGCUUAACGUAGGAACGGCCAUUGAUACUGUUAGGCUUGAAUUAUUAGGAAGUAACUAGAAUAUGUAGUGUAGCGGUGAAAUGCUUAGAGAUUACAUGGAAUACCAAUUGCGAAGGCAGGUUACUACUAAUGGAUUGACGCUGAUGGACGAAAGCGUGGGUAGCGAACAGGAUUAGAUACCCUGGUAGUCCACGCCGUAAACGAUGAUAACUAGCUGUUGGGGCUCUUUGAGCUCCAGUGGCGCAGCUAACGCAUUAAGUUAUCCGCCUGGGGAGUACGGCCGCAAGGUUAAAACUCAAAGGAAUUGACGGGGGCCUGCACAAGCGGUGGAGCAUGUGGUUUAAUUCGAAGCAACGCGCAGAACCUUACCAGCGUUUGACAUGCCUGGACGGUUUCCAGAGAUGGAUUCCUUCUCGCAAGAGACUAGGACACAGGUGCUGCAUGGCUGUCGUCAGCUCGUGUCGUGAGAUGUUGGGUUAAGUCCCGCAACGAGCGCAACCCUCGCCUUUAGUUACCAUCAUUUAGUUGGGGACUCUAAAGGAACCGCCGGUGAUAAGCCGGAGGAAGGUGGGGAUGACGUCAAGUCCUCAUGGCCCUUACACGCUGGGCUACACACGUGCUACAAUGGCGGUGACAAUGGGCUGCAAACCCGCGAGGGUGAGCUAAUCACAAAAAGCCGUCUCAGUUCGGAUUGUUCUCUGCAACUCGAGAGCAUGAAGGCGGAAUCGCUAGUAAUCGCGGAUCAGCAUGCCGCGGUGAAUACGUUCCCAGGCCUUGUACACACCGCCCGUCACACCAUGGGAGUUGGAUUGACCCGAAGGCAGUGGGCUAACCCGCAAGGGAGGCCAGCCG